CUUUAUAGAUGACCAUAGGUCAAGAGUUGGCUUCAUUGGAACAAUACAGAGAAUAUUAGCAUAGCCCCUGUGCAAGGAUGACAUGCAAAUUCAUGAAGCAUUCCAUAGCUAA
ensembl:snRNA U6 U6 spliceosomal RNA